ACUUCAGUCAGCGGGGAAGCGAGUUACCGUGUGUCGCGCUAGCAGCCAGGCGCUGGCAGCGGGGGAGCCCGGCACGGAGCGGGAGGCUGCGGGCUUUGGUCCCGUAUGUGCGAGCGGCAGCCGAAGAGCCGGCCCGCCCCCGCGCAGCCAGCGGCGCUGGGGGAGCAGCAGCGGCGGCACCGCGGGCUGCGCUGUCGCUAGGGAGGCAGCUGGGCUAGGCGAGCGCGGCGGCCGGGGAAGCGGAGCGGCUGCUCCGGUAACCAAGGAGCGAACCCAGACACACGCCGGCGCCGCUCCCUUCUCCUCGUGCCCGGCUCCGGCCAGUCCCUCGCCUCAGCCGCUGCCUGAGGGCAGCCGCGCUCCGCUCCGCCCCGCCCCGCCCGGCGCGCCCCCAUUACCGGACUUGGCUCCGUCCCUGGGACUUGGGCUUUCGUCUCCCCGCGCGGGGCCCUUCCCGCUCCCGCCGCCUGAGAGCCCCGCGCCUGCGGGAGGGUGAGCCGGGCCCCCGCCUCGGCAGCUCGGCUCCUGAUGGCGGCGCAUCGGCAAACCAGGAUCCAAGCCUACCUGGAGAAGAACAGGAUCGGGCCCCUGUUCGAGGAACUAAUGACCAAGCUGAUAUCAGAGACUCCUGACCAGCCAAUCCCAUUUCUCAUUGACCAUCUUCAGUCCAAACAAGGGAACCAGAGUCAACUUCAGAGAACAUUGUCUGGAUCUGCUGCUCUCUGGGCAGAAAGUGAGACAUCAGAAAACAAAGGAACAAGAAGAGAUUGCAGAAGUUAUGAUAAACCCUGGCAGGUAAAUGCAAAGAAACCUAAAAAGUCAAAGAGUGACCUCGCUGUGUCCAACAUUUCUCCACCAUCACCGGAAUCCAAGUCGUUGCCAAGGUCAAUAGAGCAUCCUAAAUGGGACUGGCGGAGAAAGCCGGAGAGCCAGGAUUUUGAUGAAUUAAAUCAUAUUCUUCAGGAGAGUAAGAAGCUGGGGAAAGCCCUUGAGAAUCUCUCUCGCAGCAUUGCUAUUUCUGAUGAACUUGAGAAGGAUGCAACAGGUUUUAAUACUCCCCUUCUAAGACCUCGUGUGAUUGGAGAAUGGGUUGGUCGCGAGGAGAAUGAUGCUGAUCCAUUGGCUGCAGAGAUGUUGCAACCUCCAGUACCAAGAAGUAAAAAUGAACAAUGGGAUAGUGAAGAUAGCAGCAGCAGUCCUGGAGGAAGUUUAAAGAUGGAGCCAAAGACGAAAGGAUUAAAACAGCAACAGCAGCAACAUAAGAAGCUACUGGCUGCCAUGCUUUCCCAGGACUCUUUUGAUUCUGUUCAAAGCACAGCUCCCUCAGUGACAGAAGAAGAUAUUGACAAUGAAGAUGAUGCAAUGGAACUGCUAGAGGAUCUUGAUGAUUUAAGAAUGGAAGGAGUAACCAGUGUGAUGACUUCUGGGAGUAAAUUUAAUCAAACUCGAAGUGCACAUCCUGCUGAACCUCAGGCAAAGGUCACGUUGAACAUCUGCGCAAGGUGUGCCAGACUGCAAGGAGAUAACUUGGCAGAAACCGCAGAGGAUGUCUCACUAGUGUCUCAGAUGACCGAGCAAGCGGCAUCGGAUUCCAAUGUUUCAGUGCCUGAGGUGGAAACACUGAUGGAGGAUGCUGAUGAAUUUGAGAGUGCAUCUCAAAUAACAGGACCUCAUCAACCUGUUUGGGACCUGGAUGUCAUGGGUGCCAGAAACGGAGAGUCCCCAAGCCAGAAACUCCUGAAAGACUCCUUAGCUGCAAAAGAACUGCAGACCAUGGAAAAACAUCUAGCUGACAUUGAAAAGGACCUAGCACUCUGGGAAGAAGCAAGUAGUAGUCCACAUAUUAAUUUAGUUACAUCACAUCAUCCAGGAAAUCUUCAAGCCACAGUAGGCCAAAAUUCAAAGCCUCAAGUGCCAAGUCAAACUGGGAAAAAUAUUCAGCUGCAGCUGCAAGGAAACAAAUCACCACUGCUUCCUACUAACAGCAGAGCGCAGGUCUCCAGUAUCUCAAACAGUAGGCCUCAGACUUCCAAUAUGCAGAACAACAGGCCUCCAGCGCCAUCGACUCCAGGAAGCAGACCUGCAACCCCAAAUAGUUUGUUGCCACGACCUCAUACCUCUAGCAACCAGGGAAAUAAGGAUGGAAUCCUUAGUAUGCAAAGAAGCAGAUCCUUAACUUCUAAGAGUCAAAUUGGGAGGACUCUUGGCACUCCUUCAGGGCUAGCUGUACAAACGAGCGGAGAUAUUAUAGGAACUGUCCCUCAAAGAAUCAGUUUGUCAGAAGAAAAUCGUGGAGUGACCAGAUGAUCAGAAGGGCUAAAAAAGUGGACUAAUCAGUGUGAUAGCAGCAUAAACAAUGCCCCCAUGCUUCAGGAAUUCUGCUCCAUAAACCAGAAAACUUUGCCCAGCUCUGCACUACAGUCACUGCAACUAAGAAAACACAAUAAAAAUAAACAUUCAUAAUGCUAAAGUUUUUGGACCUCAGCUCUGUGCAUAGCAACUUUCACUGUUGAACUUUAAUUUUUGUUAAUAGAUUUUUUUUAAAGCAUUCCCUAGUCAUAUUUAAGGUAACAGAUUCUGAGUAUUUAGAGCGAGAUUCUUAGGAUCUGGUUCAUAAUCUUUAUAACCUUUAUUUUCAGUCAGACUUACCAGUGAAAUGUUAAGACCAUCUAUUUACAUUUGGUUGCUAAACUGCCCUUCCCCGCCUCUCUCUCUGAAACCCAAGAAUAUUAUAAAGAAAGUUGCCAUUGUAUUAUUUUAUAUUAAGAACUGACUGUAAACAGUUUAAAAAAUAAACACAUGCCCAGCCCUCUCUUAAUAAAAAUAGUAUUUACAUUUUGAUGCCUAUCAAUUGUUCAAAGCCCCACUUCCACUAUCCCAAUAGCUUUGUGAUAUGUUGGAGGUAAAAAUAAGUUUUAAAUAAUUCUUCAUGGUCCAUUGACUUCAUGGUCCUGCUCCUUCUCCCACUGAAGUCAAUGGAAAAAUUGACAUAGGAAAAAUUUCCAUUGACUUCAGUAGGCUUUGGGUAAGGUUUUUGCGUUUUGAUCUUGCACUAUAGAAGUCAAUGGGAGUUUUGCCUUUGACUUACUUGGGAGCAGGAUCAAGCCCCACUGGAUCAAAACCUGUUCCCCUCUUAUUGCAUGAUAUCUCAGGACAUGGUCCUGGUAAUACUGGGAUAUAUGGAAUACUGGCAUUCAGAACAUGUUUCCAUUGGGUUUUGUAUGACUGUAUUUCCAAGAUAAGUGUACAGGAAUCCAUAACAAUAUUAAUUCAAAAACGAAUCCUUUCUCAGAUUAACAGGAGAAGUAAAAUGAGCCCCAAAUUUUCUUGCUUUAUCUGAAAAUCAUUUAAAUUGUGGGUUAUUUUGAUGAGGGAGUACUGGAUUUUAUUGAGGCUUUCAUCUGUCCAAUUAACUGAGAUUGAAGUGCUUGCUUCUAUCAGUAUUCAAAGCCAAUCCUUCUAUGUAAUUUAUCUAAAAUGUAUCUGUUUAUGACAGGAUGAAUUCUUACAUCAAUUUCAGCUUGCCCACCAACCAUGGAUAUUGCCAAGUGACACAGAGAGUGAAGGUGUGGAAGCCGAUCAAGAUAAAUGUUUGUGAAAUCAGUGGGAAUAUUGAAGACUUUAAUUAAAACAAAAUCAUGAUUAUCAAACCUACACCUGAAGAUCUGUUUUAGUUUACGUAUAAUGAUUUUAAAUAGUUAUUUUUAUAAUAUCAACAAUACUUAAAUGGAAUUAUUCUGUGUGGAUGCUGUAAUGCACCGAAUCAGAUUACUAACUAUGGCACAGUGUCCUUAGUAAAGAAGGUUUACUGUCACUUUUGAAUACAUAGUUAGUAUAAUGUAUUUUGUUUAGUUUAUAUCCCUGUUAUUUUGGAGUGACAUUUGAUAUAUUAAACUUUGCCUGAUCAAAACAAACUUUGCUUAAAGAUUUAUGUAUUUUAACUUGUCUAAGGUUUUCUACUCCUUAUAUUUUUGUAAUCUUUUCUCAUUUUUAGAUUAAUAAACAUUAAAGCAUUCACCCACAUCUACCAAUAUGUAUGUCCUAUUCAAGUCUCUGAGAGCUAGUUGCUCACCAUAAUCACCUGGAGAAAGGGAUAGGCGCGGGAGAAAGAGAGUGGUAAGGAAGGGAGGUGUAGCAGAAACAGGUGUUGCCUAUGUCACAUAGCUUUGUACUGAGUUUAUCUACUUUGUUCUUAAAAAAAUAAACACAGAUUCUGUUAAAAUGGAAUACACACAUGAGGAAUGAAACAUGCAUGCCAAAAAUAAAGCACUAAGGGAAUUUCAUGUAGACAAUGAAUUUUAUUUACCCAUAUAAAUUACUGAAACAAAUUAUCUGUUUUAAACAAGUUAAUUGGUGUAAGCUGCUUGUUUGGAAUUUUAAGACAUGUCUGCGCACAAAUAUCAAAUUAAGGAAUGUGAUGAUGAGUACAUUUACGGGUCUCAUUUAGCUGUUGAUUCUGUUAAGUAUAUUUGCAGCUUGUUUUCUUUUGUCUUCUGUUAGAUUCAGUUGUUUCUGUAUCUUAGCCAUAACUGUAUAAUGAAACUGCUUGCAACUGUUACAAAAACAGACUGUAACCACCAUCCGAUAAAGAAAUAAAAAUG